rnacentral:rRNA from 1 species
GAUGAACGCUGGCGGCGUGCCUAAUACAUGCAAGUCGAGCGAACAGACGAGGAGCUUGCUCCUCUGACGUUAGCGGCGGACGGGUGAGUAACACGUGGAUAACCUACCUAUAAGACUGGGAUAACUUCGGGAAACCGGAGCUAAUACCGUAUAAUAUAUUGAACCGCAUGGUUCAAUAGUGAAAGACGGUUUUGCGGUCACUUAUAGAUGGAUCCGCGCCGCAUUAGCUAGUUGGUAAGGUAACGGCUUACCAAGGCAACGAUGCGUAGCCGGCCUGAGAGGGUGAUCGGCCACACUGGAACUGAGACAAGGUCAAGACUCCUACGGGAGGCAGCAGUCGGGAAUCUUCCGCAAUAGGCGAAAGCCUGACGGAACAACGCCGCGUGAGUGACGAAGGUCUUCGGAUCGUAAAACCCUGUUAUGAGGGAAAAACAAAUGUGUAAGUAACUAUGCACGUAUUGACGGUACCUAAUAAGAAAGCCACGGCUAACUACGUG